CCGAGAGCCGGGUCAACCCUGGUGAUUAGACGGCCACACGGCGACAUGACGUUUUCACGGCGGCUCUGACAGCCCACAGUGAGUUGACAGUUCCUCACUUGUCCUCGCCAUUAAUGACGGCGCCAUACCUAGCCCCACUAUAUAUACCGGGGAAGGCAACAGUGCAAAGGAUCGAUCCGCCCGUCUCUCCCACAUACGCAGGCUCGCUCCUCUCCCUCUCUCUUUCUCAGAGCUCUCCGUCUGCAUUUCACUGUUGCCCAGUCACCUCUCUGACUUGACCGUCGGAGGGUCCCCGCCGGAGCUGCCUCCGGUCAGUGCGGACUUCCUUUUGCAGGUGCACGCUUCCCGGCGAUCGGGCGACGAGGCGAUUGGCCGCAACAGGACCAUUUCAAUAUGACAACUACGCGGAAGCAAGUAAGAUAGGACAAAUUCCUCACGAAAAAGAAAAAAAGGUAAGAUAUGACAAAGUCAUUGUGGCCUGAUGUGGCAACCAAUGGUC
rnacentral:lncRNA from 1 species